AUUGAACGCUGGCGGCAUGCCUUACACAUGCAAGUCGAACGGGAACGGGCCGUCGGGUGCCGAGGAGUGGCGAACGGGUGCGUAAUACAUCGGAACGUGCCCGAUCGCGGGGGAUAACGAGGCGAAAGCUUGGCUAAUACCGCAUACGAUCUACGGAUGAAAGCAGGGGACCGUAAGGCCUUGCGCGGACGGAGCGGCCGAUGGCAGAUUAGGUAGUUGGUGGGAUAAAAGCUUACCAAGCCGACGAUCUGUAGCUGGUCUGAGAGGAUGAUCAGCCACACUGGGACUGAGACACGGCCCAGACUCCUACGGGAGGCAGCAGUGGGGAAUUUUGGACAAUGGGCGCAAGCCUGAUCCAGCCAUGCCGCGUGCAGGAUGAAGGCCUUCGGGUUGUAAACUGCUUUUGUACGAACGAAAAGCCUUCUUUUAAUACAGGAGGGUCAUGACGGUACCGUAAGAAUAAGCACCGGCUAACUACGUG
rnacentral:rRNA from 1 species